UGAUCAACCUCACAGAUUAGGCUAUAAAGGAAUGACAAGUGUCUGGCUCUUCAAACAGAAACCAGAAGGCCUGGUGAGGAUUAGAAGAUCUGGACUUAAGUCCCAAUUCUACCAUGUCUCAGUUUUGUCAUAGUAGACAAAUCACUUUCCCUUUUGGAAUACAGUUUCUCAGCUGUAAAAUGAGAAAUUGGGAUUAAAUAUUCUCUUGAGACCUUUAAUCUCUUCACAUUCCAUGAUUCUGUCAUUCUUUCAAAUGUAUAUAAUUCAAUGAAAAGGAAACAUUCAAUUUAGUUCUUUCUUUGCUGCUAACUAUCUCUGUGAUUUUAGCAUAUUAUGGUGGAAGGAGGACUGGAUUUGGUGUUUAGAGAGUGUGGGUUUUGGAUCGUGGUUAUGCUAGCUAUGUAACUUUGGCCGGUAAAUUAAUCUCUCUGGAUCUUCAUUUCCUUAUCAAUUUCCUAUUUCCUUAAAAUAAGGAAAUUGGAGUACAUAGAUCCUAAGCUUCCCUUCUAGCUGACAAGCUUUAAAUAAAUCACUGAACCUUUUGGAACCUCGCCACCUCACCUGAAAAAUGAGGGAUGCAACUCCAAGAUAAUGUCCAAGAUCCCUUCCAAUCCCCAGGACAGUAAAGUUGUAUGUUAAGUGAUGACAAAAAUAGUAGUUCAGCAACAUUCUUCAGCUUAGGAAAUUUCAGUGUGGUCUUUUGUGUUUCACAAGGACAUUGGCUCCAGUUGGCUGCACACUGAGAUUUAACCCAAGUCUUUAUUGGAAAAAUCUUCCCAUAGGAAAUUGCAAUAUGAUUUCAAGAUCUAAUUGAAGUGGAAAUCAAUGUGGCUAUAUGAUAGUUCUUCAAUGGUUAAGGAAUUAGGAGAUCAUAUCAUUUAACUGUUUCCCAAAGAUGAAGGAAGAUUUUAAGCACAUUAGGACUCAAACCUGAACAGAUUGAUUUUCCCUUCCAACGUUAAUAUCCCAUGAUAAGGCAUAGUCCCAAUCCAGUAAGGAAUGUCAAUAGUGUUAUUUAGUUGGAGGUACAGAAGUAGUAUAAAGAUCCAUUAUGUACCUUUCUGAAAAAAUAUAUUAUUACUGCUAUGGUUCUGGCCUGCACAGAGAAAGUGAAGAAAGCAAUGGAAAAUAAACUAAAAUCAGCACAAUGGAAAUGCUUCCUGCUUGCUGCUGUCCUUUCCCCCCUUUGUAUUAAAAGAAAUGAAAAGAAGGGCUGUGAAUGUUUACUCUGAAUUUCUGAUUUCUAGCUAUACCAUUGGUCUUAUUUUUUUUCGUGUUUUGGAGGAAGACUUCUAAUGUGGAUGUAAGCUUAUGUUUUUAUAAAAAUCAAUAUUCUAGUUCCUUCCAGGAAAAGUGGUUAAUGAAUAAAUCAAAACAUUUUUUUCUGAAUAUUUAUUGUCUGCCUAGUUCUGUCUUCUUUGACUUGGAUAGGAUACAAAUUCAGGAGUUCACAAGGACUGUGGUGACUUUAGGGCAGUUAGCUAUCUCCUAUGGCUGGAAUCUAGAUAGGGAUCUGCUUUUCCUUAGACUCAAUUUGAUCUCUUGUUUGUAGAACCAGCUUCAUGACAUGAUUUCAGGAAAUAAGAAGCUUAAUCUUCCUUAACACUUUCUCUUCCCCAAUCACUCUACUUAUCCAAUAGGGACAAUAUCAUUACCACAAUUUGCAUUUGAGGGAGUUGGUAGUGUUCGCUGGAUUCACAACAAUUUCACAUGUCUGCUUCCCAGAGAUUAUCUAGGUGGUGUGAUAGGUAGAGUGCCACACUUGGAAUCAUGAAGUCUUCAGUACAAAUCUAGCCUUAGCCAUUUAUGAACUGGAUAAAUCACUUAAUCUCUAUUUGCUUCAGUUUUCUCAUCUGUAAAAUAGAGAUAAUAAUAGCACCUACUUUGAAGGGUUGUUGAGAGAUUAAAAUGGCUAAUAAUUGCAAAGUGCUUUGCAGAUUUUUGUUUUUAAAAAUAUGCUAUUAUAUAGUAUAUAUAUGCUAGUUAUUAUUAUUAUUAUAAACUAGGGCAGUUAGUUAUAUUAAUUGGUACUUUUUGCUUUCUUCAUUUCUUCCAGCCAGGUGGAGAAACUCUAAACAGCAGGCAACUAUUGCUGGAUUAGUGAAUAGAAUACUAGGCCUGGAAUCAGGAAGACCUAAGUUCAGAUGAAGCAACUGGGGCCUCGAGAAGCUAAGAGACUUUCAUGACAUCAUAAAUUGUAAUGAAGACCCAGAGAAGUAAAGAAAAUACCUUGAUAUCACAUCAUAGACAGAUGGAAGAACUUUAACUGGAACACAAAUCACUUGACUCAUGUACAAUUCUCUUUCCAAUAAACCACAUUUUGAGUUAAAUAAAAUAA